UUCUUCAUUUAUUGUCUUAAUAUGUGUGUGUUCUCGUUCGGUUCAGCCUUAUAGCCGCCCAGUUGGUGAACGUUUGGGGGCUUUCUGUUUUGGGAAAGUUCGUCUUGCAUCAGUGUUCUCGGGGUUUUGACAGCGUAUAGUGUGUUUGGAACGCUAAGUGUUAUUCUUCAUUUCUUAUUUCCCUCCUCGUUAAGUAAAACAAAAACACAGUCACCAUGGACGCCAUCAAGAAGAAGAUGCAAGCGAUGAAGCUUGAGAAGGAUAACGCCAUGGAUAAGGCCGAUACCUGUGAAUCUCAAGCUAAGGAUGCCAAUGCCCGCGCCGACAAAUUGCAAGAAGAAUUGCGCGAUUUGGAGAAGAAAUUGGUGCAAGUUGAUGUUGAUUUGGUCACAUCCAAGGAACAAUUGGAAAAGGCCAACCGUGAAUUGGAAGAGAAGGAGAAACAAUUGACCACCACCGAAUCUGAGGUAGCCACUUUGAAUCGUAAGGUGCAACAGAUUGAAGAAGAUUUGGAAAAAUCUGAAGAACGCUCCACCAGCGCCCAACAGAAAUUGCUGGAAGCCACACAAGCCGCUGACGAGAACAACCGUAUGUGCAAAGUAUUGGAGAACCGUUCACAACAGGAUGAGGAACGUAUGGAUCAAUUGACCAACCAAUUGAAGGAAGCCCGUAUGUUGGCUGAGGAUGCUGAUACCAAAUCCGAUGAAGUAUCACGUAAGCUGGCCUUCGUUGAAGACGAGUUGGAAGUGGCUGAAGAUCGUGUCAGGUCCGGUGAAGCCAAGAUCAUGGAACUUGAGGAAGAAUUGAAGGUCGUCGGUAACUCGUUGAAAUCCUUGGAAGUGUCCGAGGAGAAGGCCAACCAACGCGUUGAGGAGUUCAAGCGUGAGAUGAAGACUCUGUCCGUGAAAUUGAAGGAAGCCGAACAGCGCGCCGAACACGCUGAGAAGCAAGUGAAGCGUCUGCAGAAGGAGGUCGACAGGCUAGAAGACCGUCUCUUCCAUGAGAAAGAAAAAUACAAAGCAAUCUGCGAUGAUUUGGAUUCAACAUUUGCCGAACUUACCGGAUAUUAAAUAUCAAAUAUCGCAAAAUAUAUAUUUUUCCUAUAUCAUUCAGUUAAAAAACGACUACAUUCAAAUAUACCAACAACUCCAAUUGUAGUUUUCAAAAUGUUGCCAAACCAAAAAGAAAUCGCAAUUUCCAACAUUCAAAAAUUAUACUUUUCCCAGCAUACACAUACACAAAUAUUUGUGCCACUGAAUAUGGCGGCUUCUUACCUCCACCGUACAACUACACUGCGAAAAAUAUGCCCUUUCGCCCCAUUUACCAUGUUGUCCUUUGAUCAAAAAAUAUUCUCUUUCACAAAACUGUCACUCUCCAUCCACACUCCCGUACAGUACACUGUAAAUACUCACCCCCGUCCACUUGACAUUUAUUUUUUUGGUAAUGCCACGUUCGUCAGCUGCGCUUUUAAAAUCCGCUAACCAACUACUGCUGAGUAAUACUUAAUUACUGUGUACAUAACAACAGCAAAAAUAAAUGCGAGAGUGCCGUUCUAGUGAUGCUCUAUUCUGUAAUAUAAUGUAUAAAAGACGAAUUGGGCGUCAACAAGGACAGAUACAAGUCGCUCGCCGACGAGAUGGACUCCACAUUCGCCGAAUUGGCUGGUUAUUAAAGUGUUCAAAUUGUGAAGACGACAAUGCUUUUCUAAGGAAAAAGUUUGCUUGUAGUGUUUUCGCUUUUGGAGUCUCAAACAUCCAUGUGCAACAACAAUCACAACAACAAAUUGUAACACCUGUAAAUUUAAUAUAAUUGUAUAAAUGUUAAAAACACCAACAACAUAAUGAAGAAAAACUAAAAUUUAUAAAAAAAAUUAUUAACGACAACAACAGCAACAACAACACCUUUAAUUGCUUUUUCAUUUUUCUAGUAAACAAAAAAAUGCAACAAUGCAAUACAAAAGUAAAUGGAGCAUACGCGCUUUAAAUCAUAUUUUAUUAAAUAAAUUAAACAAAAAAACAAAA